rnacentral:lncRNA from 1 species
CCAAUCCUAUUGUCAACUUUUCUGGUGUUGUUGGGUCAAAUCUUCUUGCCCUUGGUACCGAUCUUUCAUUUGAUACCAAAACUGGAAACUUCACAAAAGUCAAUACUGGACUGAGCUUUGCCAACGCUGACCUAAUUGCAUCUCUGACCUUGUGAGUUUUUUAUUUAGUCAGACUCUUCAUUUACGCCUAUAGUGUGCUCCUUUUCCUUUUUGGUACUUAUUAAGGCGAAUAAUUAAUGUUCAGGAAUGACAAGGGUGAUACGUUGAGUGCAUCCUACUACCAUACAGUGAACCCUUUGACAAGCACCGCUGUUGGUGCGGAGGUUGCUCAUAGCUUUUCCUCCAACGAGAACACCAUCACGGUUGGCACCCAACAUGCACUUGAUCCACUGACCUCAGUGAAGGCUCGGGUGAACAAUUUUGGAAAGGCAAGUGCUCUUAUCCAGCAUGAGUGGCGUCCAAAAUCAUUCUUCACUGUAUCUGGUGAGGUAGACACGAAAGCAAUUGAGAAGAGCGCAAAAGUUGGGCUAGCUUUGGCCUUGAAGCCAUGAUAGGAAAUUUUAGUCACUAGUUUGCUAUGGCUGGAAGAAUUAAGGGUAGGGCUUCUGGUACAUAGCCGGACUUGUUUGUUCAGACUUUGAGAUGAUGUGUUGAUGUCACUCUUGCCAGUUGUUUUGGGUUGUCGAAAUAAAUGUUAAAGUUGAUGGUGUCAUUAAGCAGACCACUUUGGUUGGUGUACCCUCCCCUUUUUUUGCACUCUGAUCAGUCCCUUUCCAAACUGAGGCCAAUGAAAACUUGUUGAGAAGAUUUACCAUUGAGAUGUUGUUUCUAUUUACUUUUCGUUUUCCUUCUUUUAACCACUCCCACCCCCACCCCCCAAAGAGAAAAAAAAAGGGAUAAUCUUCAGCCCCAAUUAUACUGUUUUGGUGAUAAUAUGUAUAUUUGAUCGUCUGAGGGCUUUUUUUAGUGCAGGUUGUAAACUCACGACAGAAAAUUGUCCAAAAGAACAAAAAACUCAAACUUUUAUCUAAGACUUAUUUUUUAACAUGCUUAUUUUACCCUUUGAGAUGUG